rnacentral:rRNA from 1 species
AUUGAACGCUGGCGGCAGGCCUAACACAUGCAAGUCGAGCGAGCGGCGGACGGGUGAGUAAUAUAUCGGGAAGUGCCCAAUAGCGGGGGAUCACUACUCGAAAGAGUGGCUAAUCACGCCUACUAUUGGAGCGGCCCAUAUCGGAUUCGCUAGUUGGUGGGGUAAAGGCUCACCAAGGCAACGAUCCGUAGCUGGUUUGAGAGGACGACCAGCCACACUGGGACUGAGACACGGCCCAGACUCCUACGGGAGGCAGCAGUGGGGAAUUUUGGACAAUGGGGGGAACCCUGAUCCAGCCAUCCCGCGUGUAUGAGAAGGCCUUCGGGUUGUAAAGUACUGUUGGCAGAGAAGCGGUAUCUGCAGAAUAAGCACCGGCUAACUACGUGCCAGCAGCCGCGGUAAUUC